rnacentral:rRNA from 1 species
UGGGGAAUCUUGCGCAAUGGGGGAAACCCUGACGCAGCGACGCCGCGUGAGUGAUGAAGGCCUUCGGGUCGUAAAGCUCUGUGGGGAGGGACGAAUAAGUGUUGGCUAACAUCCAGCAUGAUGACGGUACCUCCUUAGCAAGCACCGGCUAACUCUGUGCCAGCAGCCGCGGUAAGACAGAGGGUGCAAACGUUGUUCGGAAUUACUGGGCGUAAAGCGCGUGUAGGCGGCGUAGCAAGUCGGGCGUGAAAGCCCACGGCUCAACCGUGGAAGAGCACUCGAAACUGCUGCGCUAGAGUUCUGGAGAGGAAGGCGGAAUGCUUGGUGUAGAGGUGAAAUUCGUAGAUAUCAAGCGGAACACCGGUGGCGAAGGCGGCCUUCUGGACAGUGACUGACGCUGAAACGCGAAAGCGUGGGGAGCAAACAG